rnacentral:rRNA from 1 species
AUUGAACGCUGGCGGCAUGCCUUACACAUGCAAGUCGAACGGCAGCACGGGAGCAGUCCUGGUGGCGAGUGGCGAACGGGUGAGUAAUAUAUCGGAACGUGCCCAGUCGUGGGGAUAACGUAGCGAAAGCUACGCUAAUACCGCAUACGAUCUAUGGAUGAAAGCGGGGGAUCGCAAGACCUCGCGCGAUUGGAGCGGCCGAUAUCAGAUUAGGUAGUUGGUGAGGUAAAGGCUCACCAAGCCGACGAUCUGUAGCUGGUCUGAGAGGACGACCAGCCACACUGGGACUGAGACACGGCCCAGACUCCUACGGAGGCAGCAGUGGGAAUAUUGGACAAUGGCGCAAGCCUGAUCCAGCCAUGCCGCGUGAGUGACGAAGGUCUUCGGAUUGUAAAGCUCUUUUGCGGGGUACGAUAAUGAGGUACCCGCAGAUAAGCCCCGGCUAACUUCGUGCCAGCAGCCGCGGUAAAGUG